rnacentral:rRNA from 1 species
UGGCCAGACUCCUACGGGAGGCAGCAGUGGGGAAUAUUGCACAAUGGGGGAAACCCUGAUGCAGCGCCGCCGCGUGAGUGAAGAAGUAUUUCGGUAUGUAAAGCUCUAUCAGCAGGAAAGAAAAUGACGGUACCUGACUAAGAAGCCCCGGCUAACUACGUGCCAGCAGCCGCGGUAAUACGUAUGGUGCAAGCGUUAUCCGGAUUUACUGGGCGUAAAGGGAGCGCAGGCGGCGCGCCAAGUCUGAUGUGAAACCCCGGGGCUCAACCCCGGGCAUGCAUUGGAAACUGGCGGGCUGGAGUGCCGGAGAGGUAAGCGGAAUUCCUAGUGUAGCGGUGAAAUGCGUAGAUAUUAGGAGGAACACCAGUGGCGAAGGCGGCUUACUGGACGGCAACUGACGCUGAGGCUCGAAAGCGUGGGGAGCAAACAGGAUUAGAUACCCUUGUA